UACGUAGGGUGCGAGCGUUAAUCGGAAUUACUGGGCGUAAAGCGUGCGUAGGUGGUUCGUUAAGUCAGCUGUGAAAGCCCCGGGCUCAACCUGGGAACUGCGGUUGAAACUGGCGAACUAGAAUCUGGCAGAGGGGGGUGGAAUUCCACGUGUAGCAGUGAAAUGCGUAGAGAUGUGGAGGAACACCGAUGGCGAAGGCAGCCCCCUGGGCUGAGAUUGACGCUCAGGCACGAAAGCGUGGGGAGCAAACAGG
rnacentral:rRNA from 1 species